UAAAAUUACCAGAAGGGGUGUUUUUGUCUCAUUUAUGGUUCAGUUUAGCUGCCGCCAAUUUAAUGGGCUUUGUAAAGUUUAACAUCAUUAGCCUGGCGCUGCUAAUUAUCUACAGUUAGCUUAAUUAAGACCGUUAAACUAGCUAAAUGCGGUGAAGGAGGUCGUUAAAGAGGGAAAGCUUUGUUGUUUCUCGGUCUGUGGUGGCUCCUUUUGGUUGUUUUAAGCACCUUGUAACUUUUCCAAAUGAUGACAUUAGUCUUGAAUACAAUUGGAAACUCUUCAAAGAAGAAGAAGAAGAAAGAGAGGAAAAGGAGUGCGAGAGCAACAGAGAUGAGAUGCAGACCAGGUUUGAUGCAAGUCCACGUCACACAGCUCUUCUCCAGCACACCAUGCUUUAUUCAUGCUGUGAUAAAGAUAAAAUCACUGAAGGAAAACACGUCAGCAGAGAGAGAAAGAGGGAGAGGCUAUAAGAGACUGAAGAGAUGAAGAAAAACAGCGCAGUGAAAGUGUGUGUGAAUCCCUGUGGUGCAGGAAGAAAUAGACAAAUCAGAGGGUACACAUCAUUAUGGACUUCUUGCUUUCUGAUCUUGUGCAUCCUGGAUAUAUGGACCACAGCCUCGCCAGCUCAACAACAAUCAAAACCCCAGCUGAAGUCUCGCCGGUCCAGGCAAAUGUCACCCCUCACCUCCUCCUCAUCGGCGGGCAACCUGUCAGAGAGCGCUGAGAGCAAAGUGGAGCGCCUCGGUCAGGUGUUCAAGCGAAAUGUCCGCGAGCUACGUGAGAAAAGCUUCUGUUUGGACCUGGUCUUCCUGGUGGACGAGUCGUCCAGCGUGGGGGCCAAUAACUUCCUCAGCGAGCUGAGGUUUGUACGCAAGAUGCUAUCCGACUUUCCUGUUGCGCCGGAAGACACGCGGGUGGCGUUGGUUACCUUCUCAUCCAAGACCCAUGUAGUGACGCGAGUGGACCACAUCUCUGCGCCCAAGUCCCACCAGCACAAGUGUUCCCUGUUCAACCAGGAGAUUCCAGCCAUCAACUACAGAGGAGGGGGCACCUACACUAAAGGAGCCUUCCAGAGGGCAGCGCAAAUCUUGCGUCAUUCCCGUUCUAACGCCACCAAGGUCAUUUUCCUGAUAACCGAUGGCUACUCUAACGGCGGGGACCCUCGGCCGGUGGCGGCAGCCUUGAGAGAACGAGGCGUUGAGAUUUUCACCUUGGGCAUCUGGCAGGGUAACAUCAGGGAGCUCCACGACAUGGCCUCUCAACCCAAGGACCAACACUGCUACCUGGUGCACAACUUCGCUGAGUUUGAGGCCCUUGCUCGUCGCGCGCUGCAUGAAGACCUCCCUACAGGCAGCUACAUCCAGGAGGAUCUGAUGCGCUGCUCCUCCUUGUGUGAAGCAGGCAAGGAUUGCUGCGACUUGAUGGCCAGCUGUAAGUGCGGCACACACACUGGACAGUACGACUGCAUCUGUGAGAAGGGAUACUACGGAAAGGGUCUGCAGCACGAGUGCACAGUUUGUCCACCGGGUACCUAUAAACCAGAGGGAACACCAGGAGGUCUGAGCACCUGCCUGCUAUGCCCCGACAUGCAGCACACCUCUCAGCCCGGCAGCACCUCCCUCAGUGACUGCAUCUGCAAACCAGGGUACCAGCAAAUAGGCAUGACCUGCCAGGUGGUACACUGUCCAGCGCUGUUUCCUCCAGAAAAUGGUUUCUUCAUCCAAAACGUAUGUAACAACCACUACGAUUCGGCCUGUGGCGUGCGAUGCCAGCAGGGGUAUGACCUCCAGGGGACAAGCAUCAGACUGUGUCAGGCUGACGGUACCUGGUCAGGGACACCUGCCAACUGUAAAGUACGCUCCUGCCCGCCCCUCUCUCGGCCCCAGCACGGUUUCCUGAAGUGCAGUGACGGCGGUGCCUCCUACAGAGCCGAGUGUCAGGUGGGCUGUGAGCGAGGCUACAGGUUGGAGGGAGACUCCAGACUCACCUGCCAGGCCAACUCCCAGUGGAGUGGACCCCAACCUCGGUGUGUGGAGGUGCGCUGUCCCCCCAUCACCCCCUUGAAGAACAUCCUGCUGUCGCCCCCUGCCUGCGGGAAAAGGGCAGUGUCGCCGGGCUCCAUUUGCCUGCUCACCUGUCGUCAAGGUUACAGUCUCCAGGGACAUAGAAAGGCAGUGUGUCUAGGCUCUGGCAACUGGACCGCUAAUGUCCAUAAAGCAGUCUGUACAGAUGCUGAACCGCCAUGGAUCCAGUGCCCGGGGGACAUUAUUGCAGAGACAGAUGAGCGUCGCGGCACCGCCAACAUCAGCUGGAACGUCCCUGUUGCCACUGACAACUCUAAAGAGGAGGUGGUGGUGCAGGUGAAACCAGUGUACACUCCUCCCCAGCUGUUCCCCAUCGGAAAGGAGACCAUCACCUAUAUUGCGAGGGACCGCUCUGGGAACCAGGCCAACUGCUCCUUCACAGUCACUGUCGUUGAUACGGAGCCUCCGGUGAUUGACAGGUGCAGGUCGCCGCCGUCGGUCCAGGCCACAGACACGGAGAAGGAGACGGCAGUUGUUUGGGAGGUGCCACAGUUUUCCGACAACUCAGGUGGUCGCCUCAUAGUGAACGGUAGCCAUACGCCAGGCUCUCUGUUCUCAAUCGGAGAGACUCUGGUCCAGUACACCGCCACUGAUACAGCAGGAAACAGCCGCACCUGCAACCUCACCGUCACUGUACAAGGGACGACCUGUGAUCAGCCGUAUGUCCCCAUGAACGGAGAGUUCAUCUGCCUAGAAGAGGAGGAGGGGGUUAACUGUACUCUUCGCUGUAAGGAAGGCUACAGCUUCACUAAGGACGCAGUGCACAGCUACUUCUGCCCUUACAACGGUGUGUGGAAGCCGCCGUACUCUGCAGACAGACCCGACUGCUCAGUGAAUCGUAUUGCAAACAACGGGUUCAAGCCCUUUGAGAUGCUGUUUAAAGCAUCACGUUGUGACGAUGUGGACCUGGUCAAGUCAUUCACUGGAGAGUUCAACACUAAACUGGGAGGAAUGCUCCCUAACAUUUGUAGCAGUGAUGAUGUCACAUGCAAGUUGGAGGUGCUGUCACAAGGUCACUGUCUCGAGUACAACUACGACUAUGAGAAUGGAUUUUCUAUUGUACCAGGGGGUUGGGCUAACAACUGGAGUCCUCAGGGCUCCCAGGACUACGCCUACUUCGAAUCAGGCUUUGUGCCGGGCGCUCGACAGCUCACCAGCCGGCAGCAACGCAGCAACGUGCAACACGGAAGCGUGCAACGAGGCAGCGUGCAACGCGGUAGCGUGCAACGUGGCAGCGUGCAAGGCGGCAUCGUGCAGCGUGGCAGCGUGCAAGGCGGCAGCGUGCAGCGUCCCCAACGUACCAAGAGGCACCGAAAGAUCAGAGGCCCCACCAGAGACCAAAAGAUACAGAUCUUUUUCAACAUCACAGCAAGCAUCCCUCUGCCCCUGUCGAGGAACGACUCAAUCGAAGUGGCCAAUCAGAGGAGGCUCCUGCGGACCCUUGAGCAGCUGACCAAUCGUCUGAAGCGAACGUUGGCCAAGCAGCCGCUGUCCAGUUUCCACGUGUCCUCAGAGAUGAUUGUAGCCGAUCCUAAAUCGCUGGAAGGCAAGAAGGCCUCUCUGUUCUGCAGGCCGGGCUCUGUGCUCAAAGGCAGGAUGUGUGUUCAAUGUCCGGUGGGAACGUACUUCUCUCUGGAAUAUAAUGAGUGUGAGAGCUGCUGGCUGGGCUCCUACCAGGACCAGGAGGGUCAGCUGGAGUGUAAGUCCUGCCCUGAGGGAACCUCCACGGCCUACCUGCACUCCCGCAGCGUGGCUGAGUGCAAAGGGCAGUGUAAGCCUGGUAGUCACUCUCUGAACGGGUUGGAGAUAUGCGAGUCAUGCCCACUGGGUCACUUCCAACCUGGCUACGGCGCCAGGGAGUGUCUGGUCUGUCCUGACGAGACUUCCACCGUUACCAGAGGAGCAGUUGACGAGAUGGAGUGUGGAGUCCCUUGUUCGGCGGGCCAUUUCUCUCGUACUGGUCUGGUUCCUUGUUACCCUUGUCCUAGAGAUUACUACCAGCCCGAACAUGGCCGCUCCUACUGCCUGUCCUGCCCCUUCUAUGGAACCACCACGGUUACCGGGGCAACCACCAUCCAGCAUUGCUCCAGUUUUGGCUCCAGUUUUCUUCCAAAAGAGGAGAGUGUGACUGCAGCUCCAGAGGUGGAGGUCAGCGAGGACUACCAAGCCAGCAGUCAGGUUUUCCAUGAGUGCUUCCUGAAUCCCUGUCAGAAUAAAGGAACGUGUGAGGAGGUCGGGGCGGGAUACGUCUGCACCUGCAUGCCUGGUUUCACAGGUGCCAAGUGUGAAAUUGACAUAGAUGAAUGUGACUCUACUCCGUGCCAGAAUGGAGGCCUGUGUAAGGACGGUAUGGGAGACUUCCAGUGUCAGUGUAAGCCUGGAUUUUUAGGCUCUCUGUGUGAGGCGGAGGUGAACGAGUGUAUCUCCUCCCCCUGUCUGAAUGAAGGUGUGUGUGUGGACGAGGUCAACAAGUUCACCUGCAGUUGUGCUGGCGGCUUCACAGGAUCUCGAUGUGAGCUGGAGAUAAACGAAUGUCUGUCCGACCCCUGUCUGAACGGAGGCGUGUGUGAGGACUUGACCGGCGGUUACACUUGUAAUUGCGCCGCCGGCUUCUCAGGAGAUAGCUGCGAGAUCAACGUCGACGAAUGUUACAGCACCCCCUGUCUGAACGGAGGCUCGUGUCUGGAUGCUGUUAACAAUUUCAGGUGUCAGUGCGUCGAGGGCUACCGGGGACGGGUCUGUGAGGUGGACGUGGACGAGUGCGACCCCAACCCCUGUGUGAACGGGGCCAGCUGCCUGGACGGUCUGGGGACCUACACCUGCCGCUGCCUCCCUGGGUUCAACGGAACCAGGUGUGAGACAGAGAUGUCUUCUUCCUUCAACCUGGACUUUGAGGUGUCGGGUAUCCAUGGUUACGUGAUGAUGGACGGAGUGAUGCCAGCGCUUACAGAGAUCACCUGCGCCUUCUGGAUGAAGUCAUCGGACACUACCAAUUACGGCACACCCAUCUCCUACGCUGUGGAGGGCAGCGACAACGCUUUCCUUCUCAUAGACUAUAACGGGUGGGUGCUGUAUGUGAACGGUAGGGAGCGGAUCACUGACUGUCCUGCUGUGAACACGGGUCACUGGUACCACAUCGGGGUGUCCUGGAGGAGCUGGGAUGGUGACUGGAGAAUCUACAUCAAUGGGAAGCCCUCAGACGGAGGAAAAGGCCUGUCAGUCGGCACCACUAUCCCAGCUGGAGGGGCGCUGGUAUUAGGUCAGGACCAGGACCAGAGGGGCGAGGGCUUCAACCCUGUCGAAUCCUUUGUCGGCUCCAUCAGCCAGCUCAACAUCUGGGAUCGUGUUCUCACCCCGCAGCAGAUCAAGGUCCUGGCGAGCAGCUGUCCAGACACCCAUGUCACCCACAAAGGGAACGUCCUCGCCUGGCCAGACUUCCUCAGCGGAGUUGUGGGCCGAGUGAAAGUAAACCUCAGUAGCAUUUUCUGUGCUGACUGCCCCAAGCUGGAGAACUCCGUGGCCCACCUGCACGCCUCCACUGUGGAGGUGAGCCCCGGAGCCCAGGUCCAGCUGUCCUGUGAUCCCGGUUUCUACCUGCUGGGGGAGCCGGUGCUGCAGUGUCAAAAUAAAGGAGAGUGGAGCCACCCUCUGCCCAGCUGUGAACGAGUGUCCUGCGGGUCUCCUCGUCCUCUGGAGAACGGCUUGUUUCAGGGGGAGGACUUCCAUGCUGGCAGCUCUGUGGACUAUCAGUGUAACGCUGGUUUUUACCUGCUGGGAGACGCCAAAGUGCACUGCACCAACAGUGGCAAGUGGGGAGGAAAUCCACCAGCCUGUCUCGAUGUGGAUGAGUGUGCUCUGGGAUCAGACUGUGAUGAUCACGCCAGCUGUCAGAACACGGACGGCUCCUACACCUGCACCUGCAUCCACCCGUACAGUGGAGACGGCAAGAACUGCACAGAGCCAGUGAAGUGUGAGAACCCCGGGGCUCCUGAGUUCGGCCACAGAGAAGGCAGCAACUUCCUGAUGGGUAGCGAAGUUGUCUUUGGCUGCGAGAACGGCUAUGAGCUGAUCGGCUCGGCUCGGCUCCGCUGCCUGGAGACAGGAAGCUGGGACAAUGUUGUCCCUUAUUGCAGCGCCCUCUCCUGCCCGACGCCAUCUGUUCCAGAGAACUCCAGCAUGAAGGGAAGCAACUUCACCUAUGGAAGCAAGGUGACUUUCAGCUGCAUGGAGGGCUUCCUGCCUCAAAUCCCCUAUGAGUACCAGUGUCUCGCUAGUCUAAGGUGGAGCGGGACGCCACCGGUCUGCCAUCCAGUGACCUGUGGGGGACCUCCAAAUAUCGGGAAUGCCAACUACAUCCUCAAAACAAACACAUACAUGUCCACUGUCACAUAUACCUGUGCUGAUGGAUACAGACCACAGGGCUCCAUGGAGGUGGUGUGUGAAGCGACAGGGGAGUGGAGCAGGCCUGUCCCCCGAUGUGUGAGCGUCCUGUGCAGCGAGCCCCCGCCCCUGAGAGACGCCGUGACUGUAGGAGAUAACUAUGAACUGGGAAACAAGGUGCACUAUGUCUGCAAAGAAGGCUACACUCUGAUUGGCCCAGAGACCAGAGAAUGUUUGCCAAGUGGCCAAUGGAGUGACAGCUCCGCCCAGUGCGUCCCCCGCUCCUGUGGCCCCCCACCUGAAAUCGACCAUGCGGAGCCCUAUGAGAGCCACCAGCUGUUCGGAGACACUGCUAACUACUACUGCACUGAUGGAUACACCGCUGGCAACAACUCCAAGAUGGUGUGUAACGCUCAGGGUGUGUGGGCGCCCCCUGAUGGAAUGGAGGCGCCUCGCUGCAUCGCAAACUUCUGCCUACGUCCGCCUAACCUGGCCCACGCAAUUUUAGAUUCGGUCAACAAACCUAAAUACGCAAGCAACACUGAAGUGAGCUAUAAAUGUGAAGAGGGCUUCAUGCUCAACACCACAGCAACACUGAGAUGCCUGAUGGGAGGAGAGUGGGAGCCUUCGCCAUAUGAUAUUGGCUGUGUACCAGUGAGGUGCUCCAAGCCAGAGAGCAUUGAUCGGGGUUAUGUGAGCGGGACAAACUACAGUUUUGGAGCUGUGGUGGCGUACAGCUGUGAUAAAGGCUUCCUGAUCCGAGGGGAGAAGAGGAGGACCUGCAAGGCCAAUGGGGAAUGGGGAGGAGUUCUUCCUACCUGUGUACCUGUGUCCUGCUCCGCCCCUCCUCCACUCAAGAAUGGAUACAUCCAGGACAGAGCUCAAUCCAUCUUCAACAACAAGGUGAUAUAUGCCUGUUAUGCAGGCUACAAACUGAUUGGUCGUGCAGAGCGAGUUUGCCAAGCCAACCGCCAGUGGUCCAACAACGACCCUCCCACCUGUGUCCUUCUGACCUGUGACCCUCCUCCCAACAUCGCCCGCGGACGCUACAGGGGCUCUGACUUCCAAGUGGGCAGGAAAGUAGAGUAUAUCUGUGAUGAGGGUUACGAGCUGGUCGGGGAUGCCAUCUGGACCUGUCUGAAGUUCGGAAAGUGGGAUAAGACAAGGCAACCGCGCUGCUCACCGGUGCAGUGUCCGGAGCCGCCACUGGAGGAGAACCAUCUGGUUCUGAAAGGCCUGGACUCUGAAUCUGGAACAGUAGAAUUAUCCUGCGAGGAUGGCUACGUCCUCGAGGGGGCCCGGAUCCUCCGCUGCACCCCAUCCCAGGAGUGGAACGACACCUUUCCAUUGUGCAAGCAGGUGUUUUGUGGCUCUCUUCCUGAAGUAUCAUUUGGGGGCCCUUCUUCAUCUUCACCCCCAUUCCCUUUCAGCGCUGUGGUGACCUACACAUGCAUGGACGGCUUCACUUUAAGAAAAGAAGGCUCUGUGUCAUGUCUAGCAAGCGGGCAGUGGAGCAGCCCUUACCCAGAAUGUAUUCCUGUUGAAUGCCCUCAGCCUGCGGAGAUUACUAAUGGUAUCGUUGAUGUUCAGGGUCUGAUGUACCUCAGUAAGGCACUGUACAGCUGUAAGACUGGAUAUAAUUUAGUGGGCAACUCCACUGUACUCUGUGGAGAAAAGGGACUCUGGAUCGGAGGGGUGCCUUCUUGCCGCCCAAUUGAAUGCUCAAUCCCUAAACAGAUAGCCAAUGGAAAAGUAGUUUAUACAAAACUCCAGUUUGGUCAGAGUGUCACCUACUCCUGCCGUCGUGGUUACCGUCUUCAAGGCCCAGAGACUCUGAAGUGCCUGGCCACUGGGGGCUGGGAUGUCGAGCCACCGGCUUGUGUGCAGAUAUCCUGCACUCCACCUCAACCCAUUGAAAAUGGUUUCGUAGAGGGUCAGGAUCACAGUUUUGGUGUCACUAUUUUCUACAGCUGUUUUCCUGGCUUCCAGCUAGUAGGACAGGACCAUCUGACAUGUGAAGAGUUCGGCUGGUCAAGUUCUGUUCCUAUCUGCGUUCCCUCGGACUGCGGCCUGCCUCCUCACAUUGACUUUGGGGAAUAUGUUAGGGUGACGGAGCAGGGAAGAGCCUCACCUUUGGACUUGAGCUUCCUUCAAGGGACACUGAUUGAAUACAGUUGCCACAAAGGUUACGACCUCACAAACCCCACGAGGUUAGUGUGUCGGGAGGAUGGGGGCUGGAACGGGACGGCCCCAUCUUGUGUCCCAGCAGAGUGCGAGACACCACCUAACCCAGAGCACGGCUGGGUGAAUGUGACUGAUUCCUCCCUCGGCAGUAUGGUCAGAUAUACUUGUGAGGGAGGAUAUGAGCUGGAGGGGGAGGCUGUGAGGCAGUGUUUAUCAGGUCGACUGUGGACUAAUGACGCCCCAGUUUGUCGCCCUGUUUCCUGUGGUGACCCAGGAGCUAUCGCUAAUGGCACAACUCAUGGAGGUGCUUUUGUGUAUCCCGAGGUCCUGCAAUAUGAGUGUAAUCCUGGGUUUGUCCUAAAGGGUAGUGACACUAUUGUCUGCCAGGUAGAUGGAAAGUGGAAUGGACAGAAGCCCUACUGUGAGCCAGUCUCAUGUGGUCCUCCUAAAGUCCCUGGUGAUAUUACUUUUAAAGGCAAGGAGUACACCUAUAAUAAUGAGAUUGAACUGAGCUGUCAGCCAGGUUUCAUCUUAAAGGGGAAAUCUAUCAGUGUUUGCCAGACUGAUGGCACCUGGAGCCACGACUCUCCUACCUGUGUACUUGCCCGCUGUGGGAAACCCUCACCAAUUCCCAAUGGGCGCGUGUUGGGGUCAGAGUUUGGCCUCAACAGCAAGGUCAAGUAUGAAUGUGAUGACGGGUACACCAUUAACGGAGACUCCACCCUUGUUUGUCAGUCAGACGGACUUUGGGACAAACCACCACCUCGCUGUGAUAUUAUCAGUUGUGAUCCACCUGAAGACAUCAGCCACGGCUUCCUGAACGGCUCCAGCUUCAACUACGAUGACAUAGUGGAGUACGUCUGCUUCGAUGGUUACGAGGUAGUUGGGGAUCCCAUCCUGCGAUGCUCCGUCCAGGGACUCUGGGUGGGCUCCGUGCCUCAGUGUCGGCCCUGCGUCUGUGGCCUCCCGGUGGUGAAAUUCGGGUUGGUUCUUGGUCGCAACCGCGCCUGCGGAGACCAAGUGCACUUCCAGUGUGACAACGGUUACAAGCUGCUGGGUCCCUCUCAGGCGGUAUGUGAGAAAGGAGGGGUAUGGAGCCCCGGGGUGCCUGUGUGUGGUCGGGGAAGGUGCAGUGUCGCUCCGCCUACAGUUCCUAAUGCUGUUCAGCAGGGCGGCAGUGCUACCUUCCCAGACACAGUUAUAUACAGGUGUCGGCCUGGCUACCAGCCAAAGGGGUUCCCACACCUCUCCUGCGGAAGAGACGGCAGGUGGGGGGAACCCAGAAUCAGCUGUCAGCCUGUGAGUUGUGGAAAACCUCCAUCUGUAGCCAAUGCUCAGGUAGUGGGAGAGACCUUCACCUUCCCAAACCAGAUCUCAUACACCUGUGAAGAUGGGUACGAACUAGCAACACAGAUAUCUACUCUGUCUUGCCGGAGUGACGGCACUUGGUCCAAACACAGCGUUCGAUGCCGCCCCACCCCGUGCCUGCUUCCCACCAAUGUCUCCAUCCCUCAUCUGGCGAUCAGUGGGAAGGAGCUCACCCCUGUAGGGAGCACCAUCACCCUCUCCUGCCCUACUGGCUUCUACCUGCAGGGGUCAGCACUAACUGAAUGUCAGCUGGGUGGAAGCUGGGCUCCAAGCAUCUCGUCAGUUUCAUGUGAGCUGGUGGUGUGUGAGAAACCCCCUCCUCUACUUCACGGAGUCACUGAGGGGGAGAGUUUCAACUACGGAGACUUUGUCAUGUACUCCUGCCUGCCUGGCUUUGACAUGAAGGGAGACUCUGUCCAGACCUGCCAGGGAGACAGAACAUGGAGUGGUGCUCAGCCAGUGUGUGUUGCACAGUCAUGUGGGCCUCCUCCCACAGUAAAAAACGCACAGGUCCAGACAACAGGAGAGACUUACCUGAACAAUGCCAGUUAUGUUUGUAAUGCUGGGCUUCGGCUUGUUGGCCCACAGACUCUCAGCUGUCUGGUCAAUGGCACGUGGAGCCUGCCAGCACCAUCGUGUGAAGUGGCACAGGGCUGCAUCACCCCAAGAGAGAUGCUGCACGGUAAAGUGCAGGAACACAACCUGAACACAGGGCGCGCUUUGGAGUUCCAGUGUGAUAAAGGCUACACCCUGGUGGGAGAUCCUCUGGUGGUGUGUAAGGGGGGCAACACCUGGAGCUCCAUAUUCCCCACCUGCCAACCUAAGCCUUGCCCGGCACCUCCGGCCUGGAGGGGGAACAUAUCCCAGGAGUUUCGUGUCGGUCAGUCAGUCCGUGUCACCUGCCCCAAAGGUCAACAGGCCAAAGGCGGCGGCACCAUCACCUGCAGACCGGACCAGACCUGGAGCUCCGCCAUGUCUGCGUGUGAGAGGGUGUCCUGUGGCCCCCCCCUCCACGUGGCCAAUGGGGUGGUGCGGGGGGCAGUGUUCCAGUACGGGGACGUGGCAGUGUACUCUUGUUUUGGCGGCUACGCCAUGGAGGGCGUUGGAAGGAGCAGGUGUUUGGAGAACGGCACCUGGACGCCGCCUCCCACAUGCAGAGCGGUGUGUUGGCUGCAUUGCCAGAACGGAGGUGUGUGUCAGCGGCCCAACACUUGCUCCUGCCCCGAAGGCUGGAUGGGCCGACUCUGUGAGGAGCCAAUCUGCAUCCUGCCGUGCUUGAACGGAGGGCGUUGCGUGGCACCCUACCAGUGCGAGUGUCCCGCCGGGUGGACGGGGACGCGCUGUCACAGCGCUGUGUGUUCAACGCCUUGUCUGAAUGGAGGCAGAUGCAUCAGACCGAACAGGUGUCACUGCAGUCCAGGGUGGACCGGACACGACUGCUCCAGAACAGGCUGAGAUUAAAGUGAAAGUCUGACACCAGUAAGACAGCUGUUAAACGACCGUGACUCGUCAUCCGUUACUGGUUAUCGACUGGAACAAGUCAGCUCCUGCAGUCGAAAAACUUAGCAGCUUCAGACAGUUCAGGCAGCCAGAAACCAUCUUCAUCUGCUCAGGAAAAGGAGAUCAGGAUACUAUCACAUCUAAAAGUUUCCACUCAGCUCCAUGUGAAUCAUCGUAUGAAGGGAAUUCUUGUAUAGUUAACUGACACACCUGUAAACCAAUUCAUUCUCAUCUCUCAGCAAAAGGCAAAGCAAGAACCAUUUUGUAAAAUAAAGCUGUAUUUUUUCAUAUAGAGAAUCAACAGUAUUAAAACAUAUGCUGCUAUAUACUUGUACGAUGUGUAAAAACUAUUGAUGUGAUUGUCCAAUGUAUAUGUGUAAACUAUUCUCACAUUUUUAUUAAAGCAUAAAAUACCAUUAAAUGCCUUUUCACCUCAUUCUUUUCUCUUCACAGCAAGGUUUUGAACAUUAAAGUCAUGUUUCUGUUGUGUUUGCUGCAUUCAAAUACGAAUUUAAAUCUUUCUUAUUGUCAUAUUUGGUUUAACCCACUUCACUGUUUCAGUAACGCUCACAUAAAUUUAUGAGAAUAUGCAAUUUAAAACAAAAAAAACAAUCAUCCAGCUGCUUUGAGGCAAAAUUAUUAAACUCAAAACACAACAGCACAAAGUUUCUGUAACUCAUCUUCAUUUAUUAAAUCCACCUUGGUGAAAACAUAACAUACAAAGAAAAGUUCAGGGGUUUGUCAGGAGCAAAAAUCAGUUUCUCAUAUAAAACAGAGUUAAAAGUGGUCAUUUGGGUUUUAAUCAUAUUUCAGCCAGUUGUUCAGACAGUCAG